rnacentral:misc_RNA from 1 species
UCGAUUUUCAAAAGAUGUGCUGGCAAUCCCUCACAGGUUUGCAUGUGCACUCUUAAAAAUCUCCUUCUCUUACCCCCAUUGUGCACACCCCAGUAGGUAGAACAGAUCCAUAGAGCAAUCUAUGAUCUCUUUGCCUAUGUUUUUAUCAAACACCAAUAACAUGUCAGAAUGAUGUAUGCAGUAAGCUUUUAACAAGCUGAAAUAUAAUA